rnacentral:rRNA from 1 species
UGGGGAAUAUUGCACAAUGGGCGCAAGCCUGAUGCAGCAACGCCGCGUGAGGGAUGACGGCCUUCGGGUUGUAAACCUCUUUUAGCAGGGAAGAAGCGAAAGUGACGGUACCUGCAGAAAAAGCACCGGCUAACUACGUGCCAGCAGCCGCGGUAAUACGUAGGGUGCAAGCGUUGUCCGGAAUUAUUGGGCGUAAAGAGCUCGUAGGCGGUCUGUCGCGUCUGCUGUGAAAUCCCGAGGCUCAACCUCGGGCCUGCAGUGGGUACGGGCAGACUAGAGUGCGGUAGGGGAGAAUGGAACUCCUGGUGUAGCGGUGGAAUGCGCGGAUAUCAGGAAGAACACCGAUGGCGAAGGCAGUUCUCUGGGCCGUAACUGACGCUGAGGAGCGAAAGCGUGGGGAGCGAACAGGAUUAGAUACCCUGGUAGUCCACGCCGUAAACGUUGGGCGCUAGAUGUGGGGACCAUUCCACGGUUUCCGUGUCGCAGCUAACGCAUUAAGCGCCCCGCCUGGGGAGUACGGCCGCAAGGCUAAAACUCAAAGGAAUUGACGGGGUCAUAGCUGUUUCCU